UCGAACCCUGCAAGGCAGAACGACCCGUGAACAUGUAACCACAACUGGGUGUCAGGGAUAUGGGCCUCGGUCCUGAUCCCCUAACCCUUCCUGAUGUGAGUUCGUGGUGUCUUUUUUGGGGCAUCAUGGAUUCCGUUGGACCAUAACAAAACCCCGGCACGGCAUGUGCCAAGGAAAACAAAAAAUGAGAAGGACACUUCCUGUUUCGCCCCGUUCGCGGUGUGCGUGCUAGUCGUGGCCUCCUUGGAAUCACAAACGACUCUCGGCAACGGAUAUCUCGGCUCACGCAUCGAUGAAGAACGUAGCAAAAUGCGAUACUUGGUGUGAAUUGCAGAAUCCCGUGAACCAUCGAGUUUUUGAACGCAAGUUGCGCCCGAAGCCAUCCGGCUGAGGGCACGUCUGCCUGGGCGUCACGCAUCGCGUCGCUCCCCACCAUGCCUCCCUAACAGGUUGUCAUGGUGUUGGGGGCGGAUAAUGGCCUCCCGUGCUUGUGUUUCGGUUGGCCUAAAUAGGAGUUCCCUUCAGCGGACACACGACUAGUGGUGGUUGAAUAGACCCUCGUCUUUUGUUGUGUGUCGUGAGCUGUGAGGGAAGCCCUCAUAAAAGACCCCAUUGUAUUGUCUUCGGACAAUGCUUCGAC
rnacentral:misc_RNA from 1 species